rnacentral:rRNA from 1 species
GCAGCCUGNAACCCGGCUGCGUGAAGCUGGAAUCGCUAGUAAUCGCGGACCAGAAUGCCGCGGUGAAUACGUUCCCGGGUCUUGUACACACCGCCCGUCACACCAUGGGAGCCGGAAACGCCCGAAGCCAGUGGCCUGACCGCGAGGAGGGAGCUGUCGAAGGCGGGUCCGGUGACCGGGGUGAAGUCGUAACAAGGUAUC